CUUCUCUAUCCGCGGCCGCUUUUGUUUCACGGCAAGGAAAUGCUAGGUUAACCCUUUUAUGAGUAGGAAGGACAGGGACUAUUGCUUGUCUUGGGAACGACUUGUGUCCCGGUCCUGAUACACUCCUUGUUCAUUAAUCUACAUGAGAUCGGCCAAGUCAUUGAGCCUCUCUUAUAACUCAGUUUCCAUAAAACAGAAAUGGUAAAGGUACCCCACUGAAAUGCUAAUGUUCAUUUGUAUAUUCUUUGCCUAACACGUAGAGAGAGUUCAAACAGUGGUUUUAAAAUAAACAACUAAAGUUAUCCAAUGAAAGGUAGCAGAGGAAGGAUGCUACAGGAGCUCAGAAAAGGCAACGAAGGCCAGAGUCUGCAGGGAUUUCCUGGAGGACGUGGAGCUUGUCCCUGCGUCUUUAACAAUAGGCAGAAUUUUAAUCUACUGGAGAAGCAUUUCAAGUAGCGGGAAAUGGAAUGAGCAGAGACAGAGGCAGAAAUACAGAGUUGAAAGAACUCUUUCAACGUGUCGCCAGUGAGUGACGACUUUCUCAGUGUGGGAGUAAAAGAAUUUACCAAGACAGUGGUAGAUAAAGAAAGACAGAUUAAAGAAAGUAUGAAAGUUCGUUGCCAGGGAGCAGCGGGCCGACUCAGCAGAGGAGGAGCUCAUUGCUAGGAAACAAAGGCUUGUUGAGAAUUUUAUAGACUGGAACUUGGAGUGAUUGAUAACACCAGGUAGCAGGGAGUUAACUUGCUUUUUUUUUUUCUUUCUUUCUUUUUUUUUUUUUUUUUUUGUCAGCUGAAGUGUUUCAGAAAUUGAGGCAUUUGAAGCAUGUACAAAAGGACAGAAAACAUAAACUCAUGCCUGGCAGAGAGCUUCUACUCUGAAGAAACAACAACCGAAGUGUCACAGGAUGAAUCUAUGCUAUUUGGAGAGGGAGUAUACAUUUAACUUGAAGCAAUCCCUGGAAGAAAAAUUCUACUAGCAGAGAUGCUCUGAGCAGAGAGAAAGCCUGUCUAUAUAGUGAAAGAAUGAAACCAAUACAUUGAAAAAAACUGAGAAGAGAAAGAGGUAGAGACUUCAUCUGAUACAAGCAUGCUUGAAACAAGAGACACCUGUAUGAUUCCAUCUUCCCAGGAGCUAGCAGGCAGUUCUUGUUGAGUUCAAGCCAGUUGAGACCAUCAACCCUUCAACUGAGCCUGCAUGGGUGCGUAAAGUGUGACCUUUUGAUGUCAAAGGGCCAAAACCUGCACCCUCCUUUCAUGCUAAUUCAACCAUUUUCUGAACAUGCAUCCUAUGAAGAGCCAUGUAGCUCAAUUAUGCUUGUGCAGAAACCCUGAUUACCUCACCUUUCCCACCUGCCAAUCACCUUUACCCAUACUUCACACCAUCCUGCUUUCUAUCCCGCUAAUUACCCCUAAGCCCUGUUUUCAGGGAGGUGGAUUUGCGAUUUGUUCUCCUUCUCCUUGCUCAGCAGCCUGGUAAGCAAUCUCACAAAAUAAAAUCUUUUCUUUUUUGCAAAACCCACAGUCCCAAUGAUUGGUUUGCUGUCCAUGAGCAAAAUGAAGCUGGUUUGAUAUCAGAUGUCACAUAUAAAAAUUGGGGGUGGAGUAG
rnacentral:lncRNA from 1 species